rnacentral:rRNA from 2 species
AAGUUUGACCUCAAAUCAGGUAGGAAUACCCGCUGAACUUAAGCAUAUCAAUAAGCGGAGGAAAAGAAACCAACAGGGAUUGCCUUAGUAGCGGCGAGUGAAGCGGCAAAAGCUCAAAUUUGAAAUCUGGCGCCUUCGGUGUCCGAGUUGUAAUUUGAAGAUUGUAACCUUGGGGUUGGCUCUUGUCUAUGUUUCUUGGAACAGGACGUCACAGAGGGUGAGAAUCCCGUGCGAUGAGAUGCCCAAUUCUAUGUAAGGUGCUUUCGAAGAGUCGAGUUGUUUGGGAAUGCAGCUCUAAGUGGGUGGUAAAUUCCAUCUAAAGCUAAAUAUUGGCGAGAGACCGAUAGCGAACAAGUACAGUGAUGGAAAGAUGAAAAGAACUUUGAAAAGAGAGUGAAAAAGUACGUGAAAUUGUUGAAAGGGAAGGGUUUGAGAUCAGACUCGAUAUUUUGUGAGCCUUGCCUUCGUGGCGGGGUGACCCGCAGCUUAUCGGGCCAGCAUCGGUUUGGGCGGUAGGAUAAUGGCGUAGGAAUGUGACUUUACUUCGGUGAAGUGUUAUAGCCUGCGUUGAUGCUGCCUGCCUAGACCGAGGACUGCGAUUUUAUCAAGGAUGCUGGCAUAAUGAUCCCAAACCGCCCGUCUUGAAACACGGACCA